CAAUUUGUCUGUCAAAAUCGCCGCCAAUCAGCUGAUGCUUAGCAUCAACAACAGAGAUAAGUUAACGGAAGACAAAACUUUUGCGUACUUCUUCAAUAAACUAAAACAUAUCCCACAGUGAAUAUAAUUUUAUAUUUUAGCUCAGCAUAGCCGAUCAUAGAGACCCGGUAUAUGGUCGAUCCUUACAGCUUUGCCGUAAUUCUUCUUUUACAACAAUCAGCUGCUAAGGCGACUGUGAGAAAUAAUGCAGCGGGCAAAGUUUUCAAACGCGUAUGCUGGUUCUACAAAGUGAAUGUAGGAUUUCAAUGAAUGGCCCACGAUCGAACGAUUAACGUCGAUUCUAUAACAUAACAUGGUUAUUUGAGGAGCAACGACUGAGUGCAGGAGCAAGUGCGGAAAGCCACUAUGGUUGCCGGACCGGGCGGGCAGUGAACCGGCUGAUCGGACAAUGGACUAAUCAUACAAUGACAUCAGCAGGUCGGUCGACCGAUGUCCAGACCAGAGAGUGGAUCCUAAGGUGCGCGCAGCAUUAGGUGACUGAUAAUAUAACUGACUCUGGCCAGUUCAGCGCUUGAUGGGGAAUCAGGACAACAAGAGGAUUGGUUGGUCUGGUUACACAUCUCCCAUCACACAUGCUAAGAGAAACCCGGUACAUGAUGUCUUGUUACACUUGGUCCAGUCUACUUGAACAUAGCUAAUUUUACUAUUUGCAUGAAGCUAAAUUAUAAAAAUGUUGCGAGUAACCAUUCAAAAUAAACGCAUCGGUAAUAGUGAUGGGCGAGUCGACCCGAACCUAUCGGGUCGGAGCCAUCCGUAAGCGACCCGGAGUUGUUCGGGUCGACCCGAAAAGUACAAGUAGGUUCAGUAGGUACAACGACUCCGGUAGGUGCAAAAAAGCAUAAGCGACUCUGACCCAUUGGUGCAACGAGUUCGGGUCGGGUGGGGCCAUGGUGGGCUCAUUCCGACCCGCUGGUGCAGCGAGUUCGAGUCGGGUCGUGUCAAGAUAGGUUCAAUCUGACCCGACCCGACCCGAACUUGCUGCACCAACGGGUCGGAAUCUCUUAUGCUCUCUCGCACCUACUCAUCAUUCGGGUCGACCCGAACUCGUUGCACCCACGGGUCGGAUUUCAUUCCGAUUCCGAUUCCGACUGGCUCGCACCCGACUCCGGGUCGGGUCGUGAAAUGAAUCGUAUGACUCACCACUAAUCGGUAUAUCACUUGUGGUUGUUACUGCUGUUAGAAGUGCAGUGUAAAUAUUUUAAAAAUGCCGCAUGUAUGUCCCGAAGGAUAAUAGAGGAUCACCCACGGGGUGGGAAGCACCGUAUUCAAGAGAGAUGUGCGGCAGAAUAACGUUGUUUGAUCUACAGUCUAACCGUAGCUUAUGGCUCACAUUAUAGUCAGGGUAUGACUUCCAUUAUAUACCAAAUAAUCACACACAAUCAUUGAUCUACACACUAAAAUUUUACUCACAAAAGAAGAUGAAUAAGAAUAAUGCCACUUCAAGCUCAUAUAAAAAGUUAGUUUUAAACCUUAUUGGUUCGAAAAAGUUUAAUUCAAUCCUAUAUAGGUGCCGUUAUUGAAAGGGCCCUAAAGUGCAUGCUAACAUGUUUCUUACCGCUGGGGGACCCCGGUAUCACCAAGACAUCACUGGUUCCAUAUUUAAUAAAAAAAAUUAUCGAGGUGGACUGAUUUAAAUAAAUUCCGUUUAAGUAUCCCUUAUCAUUUAAUAAUUGUUUAUGAAGAACUAAUAUGUUUGUCAUAUUUUUCUCCUAUACGUUGCUGACGUGUGAUACACUUAUUCGGCGGCAUGGAAAUUUAUGGAAUCGCUCAGCACAUUGACUUAAAUCAUGUUUAGGUUUUAUUGAAAUUUAGGUUUUUUGUGUAAGUGGUUGUCUAUUCAUCAAUCCACCCUUGUAAUUGUAUUUGGAAUACAGGAAUCUGAGGUACAUCAAGUAGGGAAUAAUACAUAAAACAAAAGUUUAUAAGUACAUAAAAUUCUAUUAACUUAUACUGAAAUACUAUAACAUUGUUACUGAAGAUUAA